GAUCGGGAUAACACCUGGAAACAGAUGCUAAUACCGGAUAACAACAGAUGAUGCCUAUCAACUGUUUAAAAGAUGGUUCUGCUAUCACUCUUGGAUGGACCUGCGGUGCAUUAGCUAGUUGGUAGGGUAACGGCCUACCAAGGCGAUGAUGCAUAGCCGAGUUGAGAGACUGAUCGGCCACAUUGGGACUGAGACACGGCCCAAACUCCUACGGGAGGCAGCAGCC
rnacentral:rRNA from 1 species